rnacentral:rRNA from 1 species
CAGCAGCCGCGGUAAUACGUAGGUGGCAAGCGUUGUCCGGAAUUAUUGGGCGUAAAGGGCUCGCAGGCGGUUUCUUAAGUCUGAUGUGAAAGCCCCCGGCUCAACCGGGGAGGGUCAUUGGAAACUGGGAAACUUGAGUGCAGAAGAGGAGAGUGGAAUUCCACGUGUAGCGGUGAAAUGCGUAGAGAUGUGGAGGAACACCAGUGGCGAAGGCGACUCUCUGGUCUGUAACUGACGCUGAGGAGCGAAAGCGUGAGGAGCGAACAGGAUUAGAUACCCCCGUAGUCCCUGUCUCUUAUAC